UUCCGGUUGAUCCUGCCGGACCUGACUGCUAUCGGAUUGAUACUAAGCCAUGCGAGUCAUUGUAGCAAUACAAGGCAGACGGCUCAGUAACGCGUAGUCAAUCUACCCUAUGGACGGAAAUAACCUCGGGAAACUGAGAAUAAUGUCCGAUAGAACAUUAUACCUGGAAUGGUUUAUGUUCCAAAUGAUUUAUCGCCAUAGGAUGGGACUGCGGCCUAUCAGUUUGUUGGUGAGGUAAUGGCCCACCAAGACUAUUACAGGUACGGGCUCUGAGAGGAGUAGCCCGGAGAUGGGUACUGAGACACGGACCCAGGCCCUAUGGGGCGCAGCAGGCGAGAAAACUUUGCAAUGUGCGAAAGCACGACAAGGUUAAUCCGAGUGGUUUCUGCUAAAGAAACCUUUUGUCAGUCCUAGAAACACUGAUGAAUAAGGGGUGGGCAAGUUCUGGUGUCAGCCGCCGCGGUAAAACCAGCACCUCAAGUGGUCAGGAUGAUUAUUGGGCCUAAAGCAUCCGUAGCUCGCUUUGUAAGUUUUCGGUUAAAUCCAUGCGCUUAACGUAUGGGCUGCCGGGAAUACUGCAUAGCUAGGGAGUGGGAGAGGUAGACGGUACUCGGUAGGAAGGGGUAAAAUCCUUUGAUCUAUUGAUGACCACCUGUGGCGAAGGCGAUCUACCAGAACACGUCCGACGGUGAGGGAUGAAAGCUGGGGGAGCAAACCGGAUUAGAUACCCGGGUAGUCCCAGCUGUAAACUAUGCAAACUCAGUGAUGCAUUGGCUUGUGGCCAAUGCAGUGCUGCAGGGAAGCCGUUAAGUUUGCCGCCUGGGAAGUACGUACGCAAGUAUGAAACUUAAAGGAACUGGCGGGGGAGCACCACAAGGGGUGAAGCCUGCGGUUCAAUUGGAGUCAACGCCGGG
rnacentral:rRNA from 1 species